rnacentral:misc_RNA from 1 species
AAGUCGUAACAAGGUUUCCGUAGGUGAACCUGCGGAAGGAUCAUUAACAAAUGCAAACAUUUUACACACCUGUGCAACGAAACACACAUUCACAUGUAGACAAAACAUUUUAAACAUAUACAACUUUCAACAAUGGAUCUCUUGGCUCUC